CGCCUCCACUCACCCCCGCUCACCUCGCCCCUCUCCACCUCCUUCUCAGAUCCCCUUCCCCCCUCCCCCUCUCGCUCAGGUGCCCACCCAGGAAUAGUCGCCGCUGCCGCAGCUCCGUCAUCUUGUCGGCCACUAGCGUCCUCGCGGGCCACCACCAUGCCUGGGAGGAGCGCCAUGCUCGACCAUGGCGCCUGCACCCUCGAAUCAGAGCUGGGAGCUGCCCCUUCCUCGCCUACGUCUUCAUAUUCUUCCUCGGGCAGCCGAGAUUGCUGCAUUGGCCUUGACGACUCCGGUGCUUCCCCGAGCCCACUAGUCUACUCGGCUGCUCCACUGUAUGCCCCAGAUGGUGGAGCCCAGGAUCCAGAUGCCACCGCCAACAACUACUACUACCCCGAGGGUGCCUACUACUAUGUGACGGACGCCGAUGACUUGGAGUAGUUAGGAGGUUGCCAGGCAGGAGCCCUUGCCUUUUUCGAUCGUUGAUACUUUUAUGCUAGCCUUCUUAAGGCAAUCUUGUUUAAAUCAUGUCUGUACUCAGAUAAUGUUGCUUCCACUGACUCAUUUGUAUUUGAGCUUAGGUAUUCAUGCCCUGGAGACCCUUGGCUUGUAAUAUAAAGCUUGUAUUGUUUUAAUUUGUGUCUAGAGUUGUGUUGUGAUA